UCGUAAAAACCCUUCCGGGGAAGACCACUACCCUCAAGGUUGAACCCUCGGACACAAUAGAAAAGGUAAAGGCCAAAAUCCAGGAAUUCCUCCUGAUCAGCAAAGACGGAUCUCUGCUGGCAAGCAACUGGAAAAUGGAGGUACUCUGUCUGACUACAACAUUCAAAAGGAGUCUACUCUUCAUCUUGGGUUGAGACUUUGUGGUGGUGCUAAGAAAAGGAAGAAGUCUUACACCACUCCCAAGAAUAAUAAACACAAGAGAAAGAAGAUGAAGCUGGCUGUCCUGAAAUACUAUAAGGUGGAAGAGAAUGGCAAAAUUAGACACCUUUGUCGAGAGUGCCAUUCAGAUGGUGCUGGAGUGUUUAUGGCAAGCUACUUUGACAGACAUUAUUGUGGCAAAUGUUGUCUGACUUACUGCUUCAACAAACCAGAAGACAA
rnacentral:lncRNA from 1 species